rnacentral:tRNA from 1 species
GGGCGAUUAGCUCAGUUGGUUAGAGCACUGCGUUUACACCGCAGGUGUCGGGAGUUCGAAUCUCUCAUCGCCCACUA